rnacentral:rRNA from 1 species
AAUUAGCGGAUGACUUGUGGCUGGGGGUGAAAGGCCAAUCAAACCGGGAGAUAGCUGGUUCUCCCCGAAAGCUAUUUAGGUAGCGCCUCGUGAAUUCAUCUCCGGGGGUAGAGCACUGUUUCGGCAAGGGGGUCAUCCCGACUUACCAACCCGAUGCAAACUGCGAAUACCGGAGAAUGUUAUCACGGGAGACACACGGCGGGUGCUAACGUCCGUCGUGAAGAGGGAAACAACCCAGACCGCCAGCUAAGGUCCCAAAGUCAUGGUUAAGUGGGAAACGAUGUGGGAAGGCCCAGACAGCCAGGAUGUUGGCUUAGAAGCAGCCAUCAUUUAAAGAAAGCGUAAUAGCUCACUGGUCGAGUCGGCCUGCGCGGAAGAUGUAACGGGGCUAAACCAUGCACCGAAGCUGCGGCAGCGACGCUGAUGCGUUGUUGGGUAGGGGAGCGUUCUGUAAGCCUGUGAAGGUGUGCUGUGAGGCAUGCUGGAGGUAUCAGAAGUGCGAAUGCUGACAUAAGUAACGAUAAAGCGGGUGAAAAGCCCGCUCGCCGGAAGACCAAGGGUUCCUGUCCAACGUUAAUCGGGGCAGGGUGAGUCGACCCCUAAGGCGAGGCCGAAAGGCGUAGUCGAUGGGAAACAGGUUAAUAUUCCUGUACUUGGUGUUACUGCGAAGGGGGGACGGAGAAGGCUAUGUUGGCCGGGCGACGGUUGUCCCGGUUUAAGCGUGUAGGCUGGUUUUCCAGGCAAAUCCGGAAAAUCAAGGCUGAGGCGUGAUGACGAGGCACUACGGUGCUGAAGCAACAAAUGCCCUGCUUCCAGGAAAAGCCUCUAAGCAUCAGGUAACAUCAAAUCGUACCCCAAACCGACACAGGUGGUCAGGUAGAGAAUACCAAGGCGCUUGAGAGAACUCGGGUGAAGGAACUAGGCAAAAUGGUGCCGUAACUUCGGGAGAAGGCACGCUGAUAUGUAGGUGAAGUCCCUCGCGGAUGGAGCUGAAAUCAGUCGAAGAUACCAGCUGGCUGCAACUGUUUAUUAAAAACACAGCACUGUGCAAACACGAAAGUGGACGUAUACGGUGUGACGCCUGCCCGGUGC